rnacentral:rRNA from 1 species
UACGUAGGGUGCGAGCGUUGUCCGGAAUUAUUGGGCGUAAAGAGCUCGUAGGCGGUUUGUUGCGUCGGCUGUGAAAACCCGGGGCUCAACCCCGGGCCUGCAGCCGAUACGGGCAGACUAGAGUUCGGCAGGGGAGACUGGAAUUCCUGGUGUAGCGGUGAAAUGCGCAGAUAUCAGGAGGAACACCGGUGGCGAAGGCGGGUCUCUGGGCCGAUACUGACGCUGAGGAGCGAAAGCGUGGGGAGCGAACAGG